rnacentral:rRNA from 1 species
UACAGAGGGUGCGAGCGUUAAUCGGAAUUACUGGGCGUAAAGUGUGCGCAGGCGGUCGAUCAAGUCGCGUGUGAAAGCCCCCGGCUCAACUGGGGAGGGUCACGCGAUACUGAUCGACUCGAAGGCAGGAGAGGGUAGUGGAAUUCCCGGUGUAGCGGUGGAAUGCGUAGAGAUCGGGAAGAAUACCCGUGGCGAAGGCGGCCGACUGGGCCGGAUCCGACGCGUGAUGCGCGAAAGCGUGGGGAGCAAACAGG